GCUUACGGCCGUACCAGCCCAAGAACGCCCGGUCUCGUCUGAUCUCGGAAGCUAAGAAGGCUUGGGCCUGGUUAGUACUUGGAUGGGAGACCUCCUGGGAAUGCUAGGUGGAAUGGCCGUAAGCA
ensembl:rRNA 5S_rRNA 5S ribosomal RNA